rnacentral:snRNA from 1 species
GGAUGUGAGGGCGAUCUGGCUGCGACAUCUGUCACCCCAUUGAUCGCCAGGGUUGAUUCGGCUGAUCUGGCUGGCUAGGCGGGUGUCCCCUUCCUCCCUCACCGCUCCAUGUGCGUCCCUCCCGAAGCUGCGCGCUAGGUCGAAGAGGACGACCAUCCCCGAUAGAGGAGGACCGUUCUUCGGUCAAGGGUAUACGAGUAGCUGCGCUCCCCUGCUAGAACCUCCAAACAAGCUCUCAAAACACUGGCAAGACAACUAGUUCUCUGAGGAGCAUGCACUGUAAAGUUGAGAUGCUGGAUGCAUGGACCAACUCUUUAACACUUCUGGGAGAAUCUUG